rnacentral:rRNA from 1 species
UACGGAGGGGGCUAGCGUUGUUCGGAAUUACUGGGCGUAAAGCGCACGUAGGCGGCUUUCUAAGUCGGGGGUGAAAUCCUGGAGCUCAACUCCAGAACUGCCUUAGAUACUGGAGAGCUUGAGUCCGGGAGAGGUGAGUGGAACUGCGAGUGUAGAGGUGAAAUUCGUAGAUAUUCGCAAGAACACCAGUGGCGAAGGCGGCUCACUGGCCCGGUACUGACGCUGAGGUGCGAAAGCGUGGGGAGCAAACAGG